CCCUUAGAUGUUCUGGGCCGCACGCGUGCUACACUGAGUGGAUCAGCGGGUCAGGUUGCGCGAAAGCGUUUCCUAAUCUUUAAAUCCGCUCGUGAUGGGGAUUGACGGUUGCAAUUUUCUGUCAUGAACGAGGAAUACCUUGUAAGCGCGGGUCAUCAUCCCGCGCUGAAUACGUCCCUGCCCUUUGUACACACCGCCCGUCGCUCCUACCGAUUGAAUGUUUCGGUGAAGAUUCCGGAUAGGACUGAUUUGAUUUAUUUCAUUUCUGACCUAAAAGCUAUCUAAACCUCAACAUUUAGAGGAAGGUGAAGUCGUAACA
rnacentral:rRNA from 1 species